CUACGUGCCAGCAGCCGCGGUAAUACGGAAGGUCCAGGCGUUAUCCGGAUUUAUUGGGUUUAAAGGGAGUGUAGGCGGUUUGUUAAGCGUGUUGUGAAAUUUAGAUGCUCAACAUUUAACUUGCAGCGCGAACUGUCAGACUUGAGUACACGCAACGUAUGCGGAAUUCAUGGUGUAGCGGUGAAAUGCUUAGAUAUCAUGAAGAACUCCGAUUGCGAAGGCAGCAUACGGGAGUGUAACUGACGCUUAAGCUCGAAGGUGCGGGUAUCGAACAGGAUUAGAUACCCUGGUAGUCCGCACAGUAAACGAUGGAUGCCCGCUGUUAGCGCCUGGCGUUAGCGGCUAAGCGAAAGCAUUAAGCAUCCCACCUGGGGAGUACGCCGGCAACGGUGAAACUCAAAGGAAUUGACGGGGGCCCGCACAAGCGGAGGAACAUGUGGUUUAAUUCGAUGAUACGCGAGGAACCUUACCCGGGCUUGAAUUGCAGAGGAAGGAUUUAGAGAUAAUGACG
rnacentral:rRNA from 1 species